rnacentral:sRNA from 1 species
AACAGUUAAAACACAGAUUGUUGGUCUU